AAGACUAUACUUUCAGGGAUCAUUUCUAUAGUGAUUGCCUGGAGAAGCGCGUUCAAACGUGAUCGGUCCCGUCAGCCACGAUGAGGAGACGGAGCGCUUCUUCCUGAGCGUGAAGCGAGCAGGUGGUGCUGCCUUCGGGUAGCCUUGCCACGUGUUCUUGAUGACCGUUCUGCCUCACUUUAUUGGGAGGUCGGAGGGAAGAAGCGCAGUCUGAGUGGU